AUGGUCCAUUAUGUUCCACUGGCUCUGAUCUCAGUUAAAAGUUACCUGCAAUUUUUAUCCUUAUUUUAUUUAUUCGUAAGGUAUCUGACAAAUGUGUUUGUGUGCGUGCAAACGAGCACCUCCGCAGGCCUGGACCGGAUCCUGCCGUGGCUCUUCUACCACAAGGUCAUCCGCGUCGCACACUUUUUGCUCUUUGUCGAGGGCAAGGCCGCCAAGCCCAGCGUCGUCAGGGUCCUCGAGUCCAUCCCCGGUGUGAAGGUGGUGUACAUGACCAAGGAGCUUGAGGAGCAGCAGGCCAGGUGCCGAAUCUGGAACGAAACCUGGCUCGCAGGAUUCUUCUACAAGCCUUGCAACCACAAACUGUUUUUGAAGCAAGCACUCAACAUGGAGAUGGCCAUUGUGAUGGCCCGGGAAUCUGGCAUGGAUUGGAUAAUGCAUCUAGACACCGAUGAAUGCCUGUUAGCUGACGUCCCCGAUGAUGUUGACAUGGUUAUUUUUCCUAACUAUGAAAGCAGCGUCGAGCGUGAUGAUAUAGAAGAUCCAUUCAGUGAGGAUUGCGUCCACGGCACGGUUUUUUUUGUCCCACCACUUUCGUCCGGUUUUUUUCGUCCCACCUCCCACCACCACCUGCAUUUUAUUAUCUUUACAAAAUAUUACAGAAGAAAAAAAACCGGUUCCCUGCCUUCGCCUCUGCCAUCACGGAAGCCGAGGGCACGCUGCCGCCUCUAUAACUACAUUUUGAAGUUAGUAUACAUUCAUUCUGUAAUGCUAACACAUCUUGUUACUCUUUCUUCAAUUUCGCUAGGUUUACGACAGUUCCAUUCAAGCACAAAUAUGUUUAUGACACUAAUUCAAAGUUGUAAAAUACAUAUAUUUAUAAUAGUUUAA
rnacentral:rRNA from 1 species